GGUAGUAGCUCAAUGGUAGAGCACUUGCCUAGCAUGUGUGAGGCACUGGGUUUGAUUCUCAACACCA
rnacentral:tRNA from 1 species